rnacentral:rRNA from 1 species
AAACUGAGGAUAAUACUGGAUAGGCAAUUUUUCCUGCAAUGGUUUUUUGUUUAAAUGUUUUUUCGCUUAAGGAUGGGUCUGCGGCCGAUUAGGUAGUUGGUUAGGUAAUGGCUUACCAAGCCGUUGAUCGGUACGGGUUGUGAGAGCAAGAGCCCGGAGAUGGAACCUGAGACAAGGUUCCAGGCCCUACGGGGUGCAGCAGGCGCGAAACCUCCGCAAUGUGAGAAAUCGCGACGGGGGGAUCCCAAGUGCCAUUCUUAACGGGAUGGCUUUUCAUUAGUGUAAAGAGCUUUUGGAAUAAGGGCUGGGCAAGACCGGUGCCAGCCGCCGCGGUAACACCGGCAGCUCUAGUGGUAGCAGUUUUUAUUGGGCCUAAAGCGUCCGUAGCCGGUUUAAUAAGUCUCUGGUGAAAUCCUGUAGCUUAACUGUGGGAAUUGCUGGAGAUACUAUUAGACUUGAGACCGGGAGAGGUUAGAGGUACUCCCAGGGUAGAGGUGAAAUUCUGUAAUCCUGGGAGGACCGCCUGUUGCGAAGGCGUCUAACUGGAACGGUUCUGACGGUGAGGGACGAAAGUUAGGGGCGCGAACCGGAUUAGAUACCCGGGUAGUCCUAACCGUAAACGAUGCGGACUUGGUGUUGGGGUGGCUUUGAGCUGCUCCAGUGCCGAAGGGAAGCUGUUAAGUCCGCCGCCUGGGAAGUACGGUCGCAA